UACUUUAUAAAUAAAUGUAAGUUUUCAAAAUUAGGGUACAUAAAUUUUGAGGUAUUCCAGAUCAGGUCUGGUUUUGUCACAUAGACCUGGCAACUCCGCUCUGAAGACCUGGCAACCCUUUUCUCUGGAGUCAGAGGACGAGUAACAAGACACUCUUGCUGACCAGAAACAAAUCUUGAGACCACGAUGGUACUGACGGUAAAGGUGGCUGUGCUGAUUGUGGCCUUUUUGGGGGGGCUUGUAAUCAUCACCUCCCCUAAGGGACAGAAUAGAAGUAUUCAGACUUGUUCUGUGAACGAUUCAGAGGAGCGUCUCAGAGAAAAGGCCCAGAAUGCGUUAGCUGACAUUGGUUCUAAACGUGUACUGCAUCCUUCUAAAAAGA